rnacentral:rRNA from 1 species
AAUGAACGUUGGCGGCAUGGAUUAGGCAUGCAAGUCGAGCGAGAAGUGUAGCAAUACACGGAAAGCGGCGGAAGGGAGAGUAAUACGUGGGAAUCUGCCCUUAGACCUGGGAUAGCAGCGGGAAACUGCUGGUAAUACCAGAUAAUGUCUAUGGACCAAAGGUGUGAUUCCGUACAGGGAUGAGCCCACGUCCUAUUAGCUAGUUGGUAGGGUAAUGGCCUACCAAGGCGAUGAUGGGUAGCGGGUGUGAGAGCAUGACCCGCCUCCACUGGGACUGAGACACUGCCCAGACACCUACGGGUGGCUGCAGUCGAGAAUCUUCGGCAAUGGGCGCAGGCCUGACCGAGCGAUGCCGCGUGCGGGAUGAAGGCCUUCGGGUUGUAAACCGCUGUCGAGGGGGAGCAACUUCCAUAGAGUUAUCUUUAUGGAUUGAGUGAUCCCUGGAGGAAGGACGGGCUAAGUUCGUGCCAGCCGCCGCCGUAAAAC